CUUUAAUAAUUAUUUGAUAGAAUUACAAAUGCAAAUCCACUCCACUGCUCUGUUUUAUAAAUGAACGCUUAACAUUCGACAGUGAAAAUCCGCUAAAUGGCGUGACGAUAUGUUGUUGAUAUUUCAUGACGUCACAACCUUUACUAGUCAAAAUGGACGACCAAAAGCGGUAUUCAAGAAAACUAAAUGACUAGUAACUAGCGCAACCAAUGGGGCUAUUAGUAAUUAUAGCAGCCUCUGUCGGAACAGCGAUCCUCAUUCUUGGCAUAGUUUUCAUAGGCUGCAGAU